AGAGUUUGAUCCUGGCUCAGGAUGAACGCUGGCGGCGUGCUUAAUACAUGCAAGUCGAACGGAGUAUAUAGCAAUAUGUACUUAGUGGCGAACGGGUGAGUAACACGUGGGCAACCUGCCUCAUAGAGGGGAAUAGCCUCCCGAAAGGGAGAUUAAUACCGCAUAAGAUUGUAGCUUCGCAUGAAGUAGCAAUUAAAGGAGCAAUCCGCUAUGAGAUGGGCCCGCGGCGCAUUAGCUAGUUGGUGAGGUAACGGCUCACCAAGGCGACGAUGCGUAGCCGACCUGAGAGGGUGAUCGGCCACAUUGGGACUGAGACACGGCCCAGACUCCUACGGGAGGCAGCAGUGGGGAAUAUUGCACAAUGGGGGAAACCCUGAUGCAGCAACGCCGCGUGAGUGAUGACGGCCUUCGGGUUGUAAAGCUCUGUCUUCAGGGACGAUAAUGACGGUACCUGAGGAGGAAGCCACGGCUAACUACGUGCCAGCAGCCGCGGUAAUACGUAGGUGGCGAGCGUUGUCCGGAUUUACUGGGCGUAAAGCGCGUGUAGGUGGUACUGUAAGUAGGGCGUGAAAGCUCCUGGCUCAACUGGGAGAGGCCGUUCUAAACUACAGAACUAGAGGAUGGUAGAGGGAGGUGGAAUUCCAGGUGUAGCGGUGGAAUGCGCAGAUAUCUGGAGGAACACCGGUGGCGAAGGCGGCCUCCUGGACCAUUCCUGACACUCAGACGCGAAAGCUAGGGUAGCAAACGGGAUUAGAGACCCCGGUAGUCCUAGCCCUAAACGAUGUAGACUAGGCGUCGGUGGUUUAAUAGCCAUCGGUGUCCAAGCUAACGCGAUAAGUCUACCGCCUGGGGACUACGGCCGCAAGGUUAAAACUCAAAGGAAUUGACGG
rnacentral:rRNA from 1 species